AUCUCUAUACACACAGAAGAGAAGAGAAAAACAUGCCGCCACCAGGAUGGGGACCGCCGCCGGGGCCUCCUGCCGGCUGCUUUCAUUUCAUUUGUGGUGGUAUUUGCCGUCUUAUUUCAUCAUGUUUUUAUGUUCUUUGCUGCUGCUGCAUGCUGGAAAGCUGCUGUGGGCCACUGUUGGGCGGGCCACAUGGCCCACGACCUUUCUAAUUACGAUGCUCGUUUCACUUUUAAUUAACCCUGUUUCUCA